CCCUUGAGGCGUGGCUUCCGGAGCUAACGCGUUAAAUCGACCGCCUGGGGAGUACGGCCGCAAGGUUAAAACUCAAAUGAAUUGACGGGGGCCCGCACAAGCGGUGGAGCAUGUGGUUUAAUUCGAUGCAACGCGAAGAACCUUACCUACUCUUGACAUCCAGAGAACUUUCCAGAGAUGGAAGGGUGCCUUCGGGAACUCUGAGACAGGUGCUGCAUGGCUGCCGUCAGCUCGUGUUGUGAAAUGUUGGGUUAAGUCCCGCAACGAGCGCAACCCUUAUCCUUUGUUGCCAGCGGUUCGGCCGGGAACUCAAAGGAGACUGCCAGUGAUAAACUGGAGGAAGGUGGGGAUGACGUCAAGUCAUCAUGGCCCUUACGAGUAGGGCUACACACGUGCUACAAUGGCGUAUACAAAGAGAAGCGAACUUGCGAGAGUAAGCGGACCUCAUAAAGUACGUCGUAGUCCGGAUUGGAGUCUGCAACUCGACUCCAUGAAGUCGGAAUCGCUAGUAAUCGUAGAUCAGAAUGCUACGGUGAAUACGUUCCCGGGCCUUGUACACACCGCCCGUCACACCAUGGGAGUGGGUUGCAAAAGAAGUAGGUAGCUUAACCUUCGGGAGGGCGCUUACCACUUUGUGAUUCAUGACUGGGGUGAAGUCGUAACAAGGUAACCAAGGGCGAAUUCGCGGC
rnacentral:rRNA from 1 species